UGUGGUCAAGCUACUAAGGGUACACGGCGGAUGACUUGGCGUGCAGAGGCGAAGAAAGACGGUGCAACCUCCGAAAUGCUUCGGCGAGCUGGUAAGCGAGCGAUGACCCGAAGAUAUCUGAAUGAGGCAACUCAUAAACGGCUACCUGAAUGCAUAGGGUAGUACGAGCCAACCUAGGGAACUGAAACAUCUCACGUACCUAGAGGAACAGAAAGAGAAAUCGAUUCCGUCAGUAGUGGCGAGCGAACGCGGAAUAGCCCAAACCAGGGGUAACCCUGGGGUUGCGGGCCUCAAUAUGGGAGCAUAGUGACUAGCAGAACCUUUUGGAAUGAAGGGCCAAAGAGGGUGAAAGCCCCGUAAGCGAAAGUUGCGAAGCCCCUAGAGGUACCAGAGUAGUACCAGACUCGUGAAAUCUGGUGUGAAACCGGGCGGACCACCGCCCAAGGCUAAAUACUCCUGCACGACCGAUAGUGAACCAGUAGGGCGAUUGAACGUUGAAAAGAACCGUGACGAACGGAGACACAAGAACCUGAAACCGUGUACCUACAAACAGUCGGAGGCCGGAUCCCGUAAGGGUGGGCUGACGGCGUACCUUUUGCAUAAUGGGCCGACGAGUUAUCGAUUGUGGCAAGCCUAAGGCGCUCAGCGCUGCAGGCGAAGGGAAACCGAGGCUGAAUAGGCCGCUAUAGUCGCAGUUGAUAGACCCGAAACCACGUGAUCUACCCAUGGGCAGGUUGAACAGGACUUAACAGUUCUGGGAGGACCGCUAGACGUGACCGUUGAAAAGGUCUGUCGUGACCUGUGGGGAGGAGUAAAAGUCUAAUCAAACGUGGAGAUAUCUGGUACUCCCCGAAAUGUCUUUUGGGACAGCCUUAUACUAUAGUUUUCCAGGGGUAGAGCUACUGAAUGAAGUCGAGGGCCCGCAAGGCUGCUCGCUUCAAUCAAACUCCGAAUACUGGAAAAUGUUCUAUAGGAGUGAGACCUGGGGGGAUAACCUCCUAGGUCAAAAGGGAAACAACCCUGAUCGCCGGCUAAGGUCCCAAAUUAUCUCUUAGUUAAAGAGGAAGUUUUAUUUCUGAGACAGCCAGGAUGUUGGCUUAGAAGCAGCCACCAUUUAAAAAGUGCGUAAAAGCUUACUGGCCGAGAAGUAAAGCGCCGUAAAUGAUCGGGAAUAAGAGAUAAACCGAAGCCGCGGGCUCAGUAAUGAGCGGUAGGGGAGCGUAGUUAUCAGCGUUGAAGACGGACGGAAACGACCGUUGGAGCGUUAACUAGUGCGUAUGUCGGCAUGAGUAACGAUAAAGCAGGUGAAAAUCCUGCUCGCCGUAAGUCUGAGGUUUCCUGGGGAAGGUAAUUCCGCCCAGGGUUAGUCGGGUCCUUAGGCAAGGCCGAAAGGCGUAGUCGAUGGACAUCAGGUUAAUAUUCCUGAACCGGUAACUAGGUUGAUAUCACGUGACACUGUGAUGGAGUCUGCACCCUUACUAGAUUGGGAGGCCCUUGAGGCCACGCAGGCGAAAGAGCAGUCGAGAAAAACCGUGGUGGACGAUGUUACUGCCCGUACCACAAACUGACACAGGUAGACGAGGCGAAUAGCCUCAGGCGCUCGAGACAACUCCCUUUAAGGAACUAGGCAAUUUUCCCCCGUACGUUCGCAAUAAGGGGUGCCCCCUUCGAAAGAUUGGGGCCGCAGAGAAAAGGGACUGGGAACUGUUUAUCAAAAACACAGGACUGUGCUAAAGCGCAAGCUUACGUAUACAGUCUGACGCCUGCCCGCUGUCGGAAGGUUAAGGAAGGAGGUCAAGCCGCAAGGCUGAAGCUUUCGACCGAAGCCCCGAUAAAAGGCGGCCAUAACUAUGAUGGUCCUAAGGUAGCGAAAUUCCUUGUCUGGUAAGUUCAGACGCGCAUGAAUGGCGUAAUCACUGGUCCAGUGUCUCAAAGGGAGACUCGGUGAAAUUGGAGUUGUGGUGAAGAUACCACAGUCCCGCGGCAAGACGGAAAGACCCCAUGAACCUUUACUGUAGCCUGAUAGUGAUCGCAGUCGUUGUCUGCGUAGGAUAGGUGGGACCCUGUGAAGGGGAGGUUUCGGCCUCCCUGGAGGGAACGGUGAAAUACCACCCUGAUUACGUUUGUGAUCUAACCCCGAACCGUGAAACCGGUCGGGAGACACUGUUAGGUGGGCAGUUUGACUGGGGCGGUCUCCUCCUAAAAGGUAACGGAGGAGUUUUAAGGUUGGCUUUGUGCGAUUGGAAACCGCACUGUAAGGGCAUGGCCAUAAGCCAGCUUAACUGCGAGUCGGAUAUGACAAGCAGAUGCGAAAGCAGAACCAAGUGAUCCGGUGAUUCCUAGUGGACGGGUCAUCGCUCAACAGAUAUAAGGUACUCUGGGGAUAACAGGCUGAUCGCGCCCGAGCGUCCAUAGCGGCGGCGCGGUUUGGCACCUCGAUGUCGGCCCAUCGCAUCCUGGGGCUGAAGGCGGUCCCAAGGGUUUGGCUGUUCGCCAAUUAAAGCGGUACGCGAGCUGGGUUCAGACCGGCGUGAGCCAGGUCGGU
rnacentral:rRNA from 1 species